rnacentral:tRNA from 1 species
GCGCGGGUGGUGGAAUUGGCAGACACGCAAGGUUGAGGGCCUUGUGGCCGCAAGGCUAUGCGAGUUCAAAUCUCGCCCCGCGCACCA